GGGGGCUCUGAGUGCUUAUUGCACCACAUGUGUUUUUCUUUGAAACAAACUUGCUUUGGCGGUGGGCCCAGCCUGCCGCCAGAGGUCUAAACUUGCAACCAAUUUUUUAUCAACUUGUCACACCAGAUUAUUACUAAUAGUCAAAACUUUCAACAACGGAUCUCUUGGUUCUCGCAUCGAUGAAGAACGCAGCGAAAUGCGAUACGUAAUAUGAAUUGCAGAUAUUCGUGAAUCAUCGAAUUUUUGAACGCACAUUGCGCCCUCUGGUAUUCCGGAGGGCAUGCCUGUUUGAGCGUCGUUUCUCCCUCAAACCGCUGGGUUUGGUGUUGAGCAAUACGACUUGGGUUUGCUUGAAAGACGGUAGUGGUAAGGCGGGAUCGCUUUGACAAUGGCUUAGGUCUAACCAAAAACAUUGCUUGCGGCGGUAACGUCUACCACGUAUAUCUUCAAACUUUGACCUCAAAUCAGGUAGGACUACCCGCUGAACUUAAGCAUAUCAAAAGACGGAGGAA
rnacentral:rRNA from 1 species